CUACGGGGGGCUCCAGUCGAGAAUCUUUCCCAAUGGACGAAAGUCUGAGGAUGCGACGCCGCGUGGGGGAUGAAGGUCUUCGGAUUGUAAACCCAUUUUAUUAAGGAGGAACGUUAUAGGGUGAAUAGCUCUAUAACUUGACUGUACUUAAUGAAUAAGCCACGGCGAACUCCGUGCCAGCAGCCGCGGUAAUACGGAGGUGGCAAGCGUUACUCGGUUUGAUUGGGUGUAAAGGGUCCGCAGGCGGCCAUGUAAGUGAAAGGUGAAAUCUUUCGGCUCAACCGAAAAACUGCCUUUCAAACUGUAUGGCUUGAGGAUGGAAGGGGAGAGUGGAACUGCCGGUGUAAAGGUGAAAUUUGUGGAUAUCGGUAGGAACGCCCGUGGAGAAGUCGGCUCUCUGGUCCAUACCUGACGCUCAGGGACGAAAGCUAGGGUAGCGAACAGGAUUAGAUACCCCUGUAGUC
rnacentral:rRNA from 1 species